rnacentral:rRNA from 1 species
CAGUCGAGCGGUAAGGCCUUUCGGGGUACACGAGCGGCGAACGGGUGAGUAACACGUGGGUGAUCUGCCCUGCACUUCGGGAUAAGCCUGGGAAACUGGGUCUAAUACCGGAUAUGACCUCCUAUCGCAUGGUGGGUGGUGGAAAGAUUUAUCGGUGCAGGAUGGGCCCGCGGCCUAUCAGCUUGUUGGUGGGGUAAUGGCCUACCAAGGCGACGACGGGUAGCCGACCUGAGAGGGUGACCGGCCACACUGGGACUGAGACACGGCCCAGACUCCUACGGGAGGCAGCAGUGGGGAAUAUUGCACAAUGGGCGAAAGCCUGAUGCAGCGACGCCGCGUGAGGGACGACGGCCUUCGGGUUGUAAACCUCUUUCAGCAGGGACGAAGCGCAAGUGACGGUACCUGCAGAAGAAGCACCGGCUAACUACGUGCCAGCAGCCGCGGUAAUACGUAGGGUGCAAGCGUUGUCCGGAAUUACUGGGCGUAAAGAGUUCGUAGGCGGUUUGUCACGUCGUUUGUGAAAACUCACAGCUCAACUGUGAGCCUGCAGGCGAUACGGGCAGACUUGAGUACUGCAGGGGAGACUGGAAUUCCUGGUGUAGCGGUGAAAUGCGCAGAUAUCAGGAGGAACACCGGUGGCGAAGGCGGGUCUCUGGGCAGUAACUGACGCUGAGGAACGAAAGCGUGGGUAGCGAACAGGAUUAGAUACCCUGGUAGUCCACGCC